rnacentral:rRNA from 1 species
UGGGGAAUAUUGGACAAUGGGGGCAACCCUGAUCCAGCAAUGCCGCGUGUGUGAAGAAGGCCUUCGGGUUGUAAAGCACUUUAGUUGGGGAAGAAGUUUUUUUGUUUAAGAGAUGAGAAGAUUGACGGUACCCAAAGAAUAAGCACCGGCUAACUCUGUGCCAGCAGCCGCGGUAAUACAGAGGGUGCGAGCGUUAAUCGGAAUUACUGGGCGUAAAGGGCGCGUAGGCGGUUAAUUAAGUUAGAUGUGAAAUCCCUGGGCUUAACCUAGGAACUGCAUCUAAUACUGGUUGGCUAGAGUGCGGUAGAGGGUAGUGGAAUUUCCGGUGUAGCGGUGAAAUGCGUAGAUAUCGGAAGGAACACCAGUGGCGAAGGCGGCUACCUGGACUGACACUGACGCUGAGGCGCGAGAGCGUGGGUAGCAAACAGG